UCUCCUCCUCCUGCUCUUUUGUCUUACCUAACAUAACCAAACUACUACUACCACUACUACUACUACUACUACAACUACUACUACUACAGCUCUGGAUAGUAUAUAUAUGUCUGCUGCAUGCUGAGGACAAGGCACACCUCCCAAGACUAUCCGGUGUGGCGUUAGUCAAGCCAUGGCAAAUAGUCUGGAGCCCUUGCCUUUGUACUAUUCCUGAUAGUCUUUGCUGUGGCUGCUGCUGCUGCUGCUGCCUACAUGUGGGUCAAAGAAGAGACAACUAGUGGGCCGUGUGUGGUGAACCCGUUUUGUCUGUCAGAGCCACCCCUACAGCCACACACCACCACAACUAGCAGGAGAGGGCAUCCACCACCUCCUCCUCCAGCAACUGGCCAGGGCACAGGACCAGGCUGAGCAAGCAGGUGGUGAUGCAGAGGGUGGCCAGCUUGCCCGCCCCCUCCUGUUGGCCAGCAACAGCACAGCACACAGCUGCAGUCUGUUGCAGCCAGGCUACCGAGGCAUAAGUCUAUGCACGCGUCCAGGACAUGAAGGUGACGAG